ACGUAGGGACCGAGCGUUAUCCGGAUUUACUGGGCGUAAAGCGCGUUCAGGCGGUUUGGCAAGUCGGGCAUGAAAUCUCUCGGCUCAACCGGGAGAGGUUGUCCGAUACUUCCAGACUUGAGGGCAGUAGAGGGUGGUGGAAUUCCGGGUGUAGUGGUGAAAUGCGUAGAUAUCCGGAGGAACACCAGUGGCGAAAGCGGCCACCUGGACUGCACCUGACGCUGACACGCGAAAGCUAGGGGAGCGAACAGG
rnacentral:rRNA from 1 species